rnacentral:rRNA from 1 species
UACAGAGGGGGCAAGCGUUGUUCGGAAUUACUGGGCGUAAAGGGCGCGUAGGCGGCCGCCUAAGUCAGACGUGAAAUCCCUCGGCUCAACCGGGGAACUGCGUCCGAUACUGGAGGGCUUGAGUGUGGGAGAGGGAUGCGGAAUUCCAGGUGUAGCGGUGAAAUGCGUAGAUAUCUGGAGGAACACCGGUGGCGAAGGCGGCAUCCUGGACCAUGACUGACGCUGAGGAGCGAAAGCCAGGGGAGCAAACGGG